CCCUAGUAACUGCGAGUGAAGCGGGAAAAGCUCAAAUUUAAAAUCUGGUAGUCUUUGGCUGCCCGAGUUGUAAUCUAGAGAAGCGUUAUCCGCGCUGGACCGUGUAUAAGUCUCCUGGAAUGGAGCGUCAUAGAGGGUGAGAAUCCCGUCUUUGACACGGACUCCCAGGGCUUUGUGAUGCGCUCUCAAAGAGUCGAGUUGUUUGGGAAUGCAGCUCUAAAUGGGUGGUAAAUUCCAUCUAAAGCUAAAUAUUGGCGAGAGACCGAUAGCGAACAAGUACCGUGAGGGAAAGAUGAAAAGAACUUUGGAAAGAGAGUUAAACAGUACGUGAAAUUGUUGAAAGGGAAACGCUUGAAGUCAGUCGCGUUGGCCAGGGAUCAACCUUGCUUUUGCUUGGUGUACUUCCUGGUUAAUGGGUCAGCAUCAAUUUUGACCAGUGGAAAAAGGUCAGGGGAAUGUGGCAUCUUCGGAUGUGUUAUAGCCUCUGAUUGUAUACAUUGGUUGGGAUUGAGGAACUCAGCACGCCGCAAGGCCGGGUUUUACCACGUUCGUGCUUAGGAAGCUGGCAUAAUGGCUUUAAUCGACCC
rnacentral:rRNA from 1 species